rfam:Pteropus alecto contig37636, whole genome shotgun sequence.
GGCUCCAUAGUGUAGUGGUUAGCAUGUGUGCUUUAUACGUAGAAGGUCUUGGGUUCGUGCCCCAGGUGGAGCCA